UCACCAAUCAAGCCCCCGGCUUGGCGUUGGGUGCCGUCCCGCCCUCUGGCGCGCGGACGCUCCCCAAAACCAUCGGCGGUGUGGCACCGGCCCUGAGCGCAGCAGAUGUUCGCUCUGUGGGUCCCGGUGCGGCAGCGGCCGCGACGAAACAACCACCA
rnacentral:misc_RNA from 1 species